GUAGCAGCAAGGAACAGAAGAGUCCUCCCUUUGGCCUUUUAAACCAAACAGUGGUAAACUGCAUCCAGAAUGGCAUUGCCUUGAAUUCAGAAUUGUUACAAAGCUGCCCGUAAUAGCAUUCCUCAGGAUGGGGUAGUGUUUAAACUAGUUGAUGUAAGAAUCAUUUAGAUCCUAUUAAAACCCCUUUAUACAGCAGCAGUGCUUAUAGAGGUAAGAAGUGACACGUACCUGAGGGCCAUCGCCAUGC
rnacentral:lncRNA from 1 species